GUCUGAAUCAACCUAAGUUUUAAACAGAAGGUGAACCUCUGAGAUAGAAAAUCAAGUAUAUUUUAAAAGAAGGGAUGUGGGAUCAAGGAGGACAGCCUUGGCAGCAGUGGCCCUUGAACCAGCAACAAUGGAUGCAGUCAUUCCAGCACCAACAGGAUCCAAGCCAGAUUGAUUGGGCUGCAUUGGCCCAAGCUUGGAUUGCCCAAAGAGAAGCUUCAGGACAGCAAAGCAUGGUAGAACAACCACCAGGAAUGAUGCCAAAUGGACAAGAUAUGUCUACAAUGGAAUCUGGUCCAAACAAUCAUGGGAAUUUCCAAGGGGAUUCAAACUUCAACAGAAUGUGGCAACCAGGCUGACAGGGGCUGGGAACACUCUGGAAACCUCACUUGGCAUCUAGGGAAGAGAGCAUUCUUUGUCUCUCUAUUGCAACCUCUGGCCUUUUCAGAAGCAGCACUGGCAGAGUAAAACAUGUCUAGCCUCUAAUUAAAGAAAAAUUGUGUCACUGUGUGACAAAUUAGUCUGUCAAAUAUACUCUGCCCCUACCAUCCGCCUACCUUUUUCUUCCCUUUUUUUUUUUCAGAUAGUGAAGAUCUUUCAUAAGUUUUUGUGUGUUUUACUUUUUUGUUUGUUUUAUUUCACAGUAUGAUGUAGAUUUCUUGAUGCUAAUUCAGUCUUCCAUGGCUUGUGUUAUUCCUUUUUAAUAGUCACUUGAAACUAUGGAGGAAUCAGCCUCUCAUUUGGGUAUGCUGAUGGUGAAGUCAUAACCUCCUUUCCCUAUUAAUACUUUUUGUUUCUCCUUAUAAGAAUGGAGACCUCAGUCGAGACCAGCCUGGGCAACAUAGCAAGGCCCUGUCUCUAC
rnacentral:lncRNA from 1 species